CUAAGUUGAUUAGGCUUGCUUCAGUAAGGGAGCAUGCCACCUUGACAGUCUUAGAGGGCCUCAGGAAGGUGACAGUGAGAGAGAACAUUUCCAAGGUUAUAGGUCCACGCUAGGUGAUUUCAAGCAGUGACAAAAUGUUAUCACCACCUUUCAAUUUACCUUUAAAGUGAAUAACAGCCCAGAUUGAGGCAGCCCUCCUGGUAGAGCCUGUGAGUGGACUUCUGACUUCCAAUCACCCUGACCUAUCAAGUGGCCACUGGGGUUCAGCAGCUGCAUGGGUCCAAGAAUGGGCUCCAAUCAUAGGCCCAAGUACAGGCUGGGUACAGCAACUCAGUGCCAGCCAGAGCACAACUGGGAACAGAGACCGAGCUAGCUGGAUGGGGACAGAAACUGGAACUGUGCUAAGCUUUGGCAUGGAUUGAACCAACAGCACAUAAUUUCUUGAGCCUGGUCCUUCUUCUGGGCUUGAUGAAGACAAGGCUGAAUGUCUUCGAUUGUGGGACAGACGGAGAUGAGACACUGGAAACCUGAGGGCAGUCUUUCAUUUCUACUCCAAUAAAUCUCACCGCUAC